UAUGUAGGCAGCAAGCGUUGUUCGGAAUUACUGGGCGUAAAGAGUGUGUAGGUGGUGUCGUAAGUUUGGUGUGAAAUCUCCCGGCUUAACUGGGAGGUUGCGCCGAAGACUGCGAUGCUGGAGUAUGGGAGAGGAAAGCGGAAUUCCUGGUGUAGCGGUGAAAUGCGUAGAUAUCAGGAGGAACACCUGCGGUGUAGACGGCUUUCUGGACCGACACUGACGCUGAGGCGCGAAAGCUAGGGGAGCAAACGGG
rnacentral:rRNA from 1 species